AAGAAACCACACCGUGAUGAUUGGGGAGGCGGGCUGAAUGCUAUGGAGUGUGCACUGCACUUGGAAAAAAGUGUGAAUCAGUCACUACUGGAACUGCACAAACUGGCCACUGACAAAAAUGACCCCCACUUGUGUGAGUUCAUUGAGACUCAUUACCUGAAUG